rnacentral:rRNA from 1 species
GUCUACAGCCAUGCCACCCUGAACAAGCCCGAUCCCGUCUGAUCUCAGAAGCUAAGCAGAGUCGGGCCUGGUUAGUACUUGGAUGGGAGACCACCUAGGAAGACCAGGUGCUGUAGGCG